UGUCUUAUGGGUUGUCUUGAACUUUGUUCUGGAACACUCAUUCGCAAACCAAAUCUUGCACUAUGAUACAAAAUCAGAUGUUGAUGAUAAAAUAUGUAUGUCAGUUGCGUCCUGAUUGCAACUGCUCACAUAUCCAACAUCCGAUCUAAUUCAACACGAUGAAUAAAACGUCGCCAGUUAAAUAGUCAUGAAACAGAGCUCCAGACCUUCUGAACGCUCUGCCCAUAUUUGGUUACAAUAGAACUACACUCAUUGCAAAGCUUAAGAUGCUUGGAGUGAAGGCGUUUGAUGAAAUAACUUUGCCACCCUAGUUUUUGCAGUAAUAACUUUUGACGUUGACUGAAGUCGUCACAUAACACACAGGAUCUAACAAAUGCUACAAGGUAAGAUAUGUGCACAUCAUAUGCAGGACCCUUCGGUAUAUUACUGUCAACACAAACCAGCAAGGAACUAAGAUUACUAAUGUUGGAGUGAUAGUUUUGGCUCGAUUCGACAUAUUUACAGCGCCACAGCAGACUGUACAUGUGCCUCUGAGGAAUGCCUUUAAUAAAAGAUGAUUUCCAUUCUGUAAAUUACUUCUAGCUUUCGUUGGGUUCUCUCCCUCUGUAGUUCUACUUUCAGAAAACUGUGUUCUUCAGGUCUGGAGGGUGACAAAUGGAUCGGGAUUUGCGGAUACGGGACGUCAUGUGUGCAGGGAAAAUAUUGUCGUUGUAAAACUGGAUUUGGUAUUCUGUUGGUCCCGAAAGGAAACUUCCCAGCGUUUUGCUUACGAACAUGCGAUUCUGGAGAUGAUGUUUGUCCUGCCAACACCACGUGUUUAACGAGAAACGUGUUAGGCGCUAGCAGAAAUUUGUGUGAUUGCUCAGAUGGAGCAAGACGGUCAGCCAUGGCACAAUGUCUCGAUAUCGACGAGUGUACCGAAUAUCCAGGCGUGGAAACAACUCUGUUUGUACAAACAGAGACGGUAACUACACGUGCGCAUGUGGGGAGGGAUACAGAUAAAUAGACGGUGAAGAGGUCAGGUGCAUCCUGGCCCUGGAACAUUGAGAUCGCAUACCGGUAUUCAGUUCACUCUGGGUCGUCGGUAAUAAUAUAGAACGCUUCAGGGGUACCUGGCGAUGGAAGGAAAUUAUCCCCGGAAGUGACUACUUUCCUCCACGGUGAAAGCUACAGAUUCCACGGCCUUGGCGAUUGGUCUGACAGUUUGUGGGAUGUUUCUUCUGAAUAUCAUCAUCCUCGUUGUUGUUGUUUUAAGGAGACGAAAUCGUCCGCGGGAAUAUGCAAGUGAAGAUGUCAGCUUUAAAAUGGAGGAAAAACGAUCCUGUGUCACGAGGCCAGCUUACGAAGACGUUACUGGUCAAUCUGUACAACAAAAACUAGGAGUAUCCAAUCUGACUUAUCUGGAAUCCGUAAUACUACCGGAAGAAUCAAGUGUCACUUCUCUGGACGACAGAUACGAGGAUGUUGACUUGCCUUCACAGCAGAAGCUGUAUAAUUUAAUUUAAUUCAAUUUAAUUCCCGAAUUUAUAAAUUUAGGUAUUCACUUACUGUAGGAAUAGAGAUACAUAAUACGAACAUAGCUAUGUAAUCAUGUAAAUGUAAAUGUUGCAGUAAUGUUUAUCCUUCUGACAUCUUUAACAUCGUAGUUUUGCAGAAUAGUUUUGUAGUACUUGAAGAAUUCCUUUGGGCGUUGAUAAAAAGUCUUCACACAGGAUUUGUCAAACGCCACAAGGCAAUUUCGGCGAACUCUUAAACUGAAAACAUCCACUUCAUUUACGAUCUCACAUUUUUUUCCACUCUCAAAGACUGAUGUCGUGUUUUAAUACAUUAUGUUACCUAGAAAAUAUUUGUCACCGUUGUGACACAAUCUACAUACAGCAUGCUGUAAUAGGCGAGGAACCAUUUUGCAUAGUUUCUCGCCUCAAAAACUAAUCCUGCGUUACGUCAUAGUCGUUGUCGGGUAACAAGGGAAUUAAUUCAGAACAGGCCCUUUGCGUCAUGGAACGUUCAUGGCAAGGCAUUGUUGGUAAAGCUGAAUUCAUGCCUUGCUGCUAUGACAGGGACAGAGUCCUUCGAGUUGUCGGUACACAGGUUGGCAUAGACAUUAAUCGUGUAGCAUGUUAAGAGCGAAAUAUGUAGCAACUCCGAAAACCAACACAUGUAAUACUAAGCAGAUAACAAACCAAAAUGACCCCUGUUGCGGGAGUUGUUGAAGAAAUAGCCCUAAGUGUGUCGGAUUUUUGGUAAAUAACUACGGAGGUGAUUACUGAGAUACAUAUUUUAUUAUGGGAAACUUUUAUUCUAACAUGGUACACAAUUUUAAAUACUGAUUUCACUCGGUCGCCUAGA